AACGUAGGUGGCAAGCGUUAUCCGGAUUUACUGGGCGUAAAGCGUGUGCAGGUGGGGUAACAAGUGGUGUAUGAAAGGUUUCAGCUUAACUGAGAUAGGUUAUGCCAGACUGUUAUCCUAGAGUACGAGAGAGGACGUGGAAUUCCGGGUGUAGUGGUGAAAUGCGUAGAGAUCCGGAGGAACCCCAGAGGCGAAGGCGGCGUCCUGGCUCGAUACUGACACUCAGACACGACAGCAUGGGGAGCGAACGGG
rnacentral:rRNA from 1 species